UCCCAUUGGAUGAGCCAUGAGUCAUUUCCCCCCCCCCGAUGCUCACGCUUUCUCCACCGGGAUGGCUUUAUAACACUUCAGCUGCUCCUUCAGUUCGACAUUUCACACAUGCAGACAACAUGCUGCUGCUUACCUUUCUUGUUGCAACUUCAUUUUGGUCCCGUGGAAAUGCACAGGCUGCACCAGUGCAAAGCCCAGCAGAGCGCAGGCUGGUGGAGGGCAGCUCAGUCACCAUGACAUGCCAGCUGAGUAGUGGCACCGUUGUGCACUGGUACAGGCAGCUUCCUGGGGAGCCACCCAAGAGGAUACUGUACAUGUCUGGAUACUCACCUACCUUUGAUGACAGCAACGAUAGGCAGAAGUUUCAAGUGCAGAGAAAUCCUUCCAACUCUGUUCUGACAAUAAAGAAAUCUACUAGGAGGGAUACCGGUACUUACUAUUGUGCAUACUGGUAUUAUCAAGGCUUCACAGAGUUAGAUGGGCAAAGAUAAGCCAUACAAAAAGGC